rnacentral:rRNA from 1 species
AGUGAACGCUGGCGGUAGGCCUAACACAUGCCAGUCGAACGGCAGCACAGUAAGAGCUUGCUCUUACGGGUGGCGAGUGGCGGACGGGUGAGGAAUACAUCGGAAUCUACUUUUUCGUGGGGGAUAACGUAGGGAAACUUACGCUAAUACCGCAUACGACCUACGGGUGAAAGCAGGGGAUCUUCGGACCUUGCGCGAUUGAAUGAGCCGAUGUCGGAUUAGCUAGUUGGCGGGGUAAAGGCCCACCAAGGCGACGAUCCGUAGCUGGUCUGAGAGGAUGAUCAGCCACACUGGAACUGAGACACGGUCCAGACUCCUACGGGGGGCAGCAGUGGGGAAUAUUGGACAAUGGGCGCAAGCCUGAUCCAGCCAUACCGGGUGGGUGAAGAAGGCCUUCGGGUUGUAAAGCCCUUUUGUUGGGAAAGAAAAGCAGCAGGUUAAUACCCCGCUGUUCUGACGGUACCCAAAGAAUAAGCACCGGCUAACUUCGUG